rnacentral:rRNA from 1 species
GACGAACGCUGGCGGCGUGCUUAACACAUGCAAGUCGAGCGGAGCGGCGAACGGGUGCGUGACGCGUGAAUAACUGCCCCCCUCUCUGGGCUAACAGUUGGAAACGGCUGCUAAUACCGGAUAGUGGGGGAUGACUCGCGUCCUAUCAGCUUGUUGGUGGGGUAGUGGCCUACCAAGGCGACGACGGGUAGCCGGCCUGAGAGGGCGACCGGCCACAUGGGGCUGAGUUACGGCCCAUACUCCUACGGGAGGAAGCAGGGGGGAAUAUGGCACAAUGGGGGAAACCCUGAUGCAGCAACGCCGGGGGCGGGAUGACGGCUUUCGGGUUGGAAACAGCUUUCAGCCAUGACGCGGUAGUGGCAGAAGAUGCACCGGCUAACUACGUGUCAGCAGCCGCGGUAAUAC